rnacentral:rRNA from 1 species
ACUCCUACGGGAGGCAGCAGUGGGGAAUAUUGCACAAUGGGCGCAAGCCUGAUGCAGCCAUGCCGCGUGUAUGAAGAAGGCCUUCGGGUUGUAAAGUACUUUCAGCAGUGAGGAAGGUGGGUAUGUUAAUAGCAUACUCAUUUGACGUUAGCUGCAGAAGAAGCACCGGCUAACUCCGUGCCAGCAGCCGCGGUAAUACGGAGGGUGCGAGCGUUAAUCGGAAUUACUGGGCGUAAAGCGCAUGCAGGUGGUUUGUUAAGUCAGAUGUGAAAGCCCGGGGCUCAACCUCGGAAUUGCAUUUGAAACUGGCAAACUAGAGUACUGUAGAGGGGGGUAGAAUUUCAGGUGUAGCGGUGAAAUGCGUAGAGAUCUGAAGGAAUACCGGUGGCGAAGGCGGCCCCCUGGACAGAUACUGACACUCAGAUGCGAAAGCGUGGGGAGCAAACAGGAUUAGAUACCCCCGGUAGGCGUAG